rnacentral:rRNA from 1 species
CUUAUUGGGCCUAAAGCGUCCGUAGCUGGCCGCGCAAGUCCAUCGGGAAAUCCACCUGCUCAACAGGUGGGCGCCCGGUAGAAACUGCGUGGCUUGGGACCGGAAGGCGCGACGGGUACGUCCGGGGUAGGAGUGAAAUCCCGUAAUCCUGGACGGACCGCCGAUGGCGAAAGCACGUCGCGAGAACGGAUCCGACAGUGAGGGACGAAAGCCAGGGUCUCGAACCGGAUUAGAUACCCGGGUAGUCCUGGCCGUAAACAAUGUCUGCUAGGUGUGGCUCCCACUACGAGUGGGUGCUGUGCCGUAGGGAAGCCGCUAAGCAGACCGCCUGGGAAGUACGUCCGCAAGGAUGAAACUUAAAGGAAUUGGCGGGGGAGCACUACAACCGGAGGAGCCUGCGGUUUAAUUGGACUCAACGCCGGACAUCUCACCAGCAUCGACUGUAAUAAUGACGACCAGGUUGAUGACCUUGUCCGAGUUUCAGAGAGGAGGUGCAUGGCCGCCGUCAGCUCGUACCGUGAGGCGUCCUGUUAAGUCAGGCAACGAGCGAGACCCGCACCCUUACUUGCCAGCAGUACCGCGAGGUAGCUGGGGACAGUAGGGGGACCGCCGUGGCUAACACGGAGGAAGGAACGGGCAACGGUAGGUCAGUAUGCCCCGAAUGUGCUGGGCAACACGCGGGCUACAAUGGUCGAGACAAAGGGUUCCAACUCCGAAAGGAGACGGUAAUCUCAGAAACUCGAUCGUAGUUCGGAUUGUGGGCUGCAACUCGCCCACAUGAAGCUGGAUUCGGUA